rnacentral:rRNA from 1 species
CCUACGGGGGGCAGCAGUGGGGGAUAUUGCACAAUGGGCGCAACCCUGAUGCAGCGACGCCGCGUGAGUGAAGAAGGCUUUCGGUUUGUAAAGCUCUAUCAGCAGGGAAGAAAAUGACAGGGUCCGUCCUAGAAGCGCCGGCUAACUACGUGCCAGCAGCCGCGGGAAUACGGAGGGGGCAAGCGUUAUCCGGAUUUACUGGGUGUAAAGGGGGCGUAGACGGUUAUGUAAGUCUGGAGUGAAAGCCCGGGGCGCAACCCCGGGACUGCUUUGGAAACUGUGUAACUGGAGUACAGGAGGGGCAGGCGGAAUUCCUGGUGUAGCGGUGAAAUGCGUAGAUAUCAGGAGGAACACCGGCGGCGAAGGCGGCCUGCUGGACUGAAACUGACGUUGAGGCGCGAAAGCGUGGGGAGCAAACAGGAUUAGAUACCCUAGUAGUC